CACAGACCGAAGAUGACAAGAGGGAAGUUUACAAGGAGGUUUUACACGACAUAGGAGAUUUCAUUCACCACCAGCGACAACACAGUCUCCCCCAGCGUGUCCAAGCACGGACUGUCAGACCGGUGCGUUUUACGCAUAUCCUUUCCAGUGGAUCAGCUGUUGCUGGCCAGAGCUGAAGGUGACUUGCUGGCUGGGCCAACGGCUGCAACACAGGACAUGGGUCCUGCCUCUCCUCCCCGCUCGUGUCUUGUGUUGCAGCCAGUGGAGCUGCCUGUCUGCCCGCUGAUGACGGCGUGAGCUCC
ensembl:lncRNA